UACCAAAAUCAGUGUUCGGUUCGAAAUGUGUUUCGCGCUUUACGUCCGAUUUAUGGUCUACAUAAUCGACCAAGUGAGCAAACAAUUAAUGCGAUUGUGACCAAGUUUCGCACUCAGUUUACUUUAUUGGACAUUAAACCAACCACACGAAUGCGUACAGUGCGUACAGAAGAGAAUAUUGCGUCUGUUUCUGAGAGUGUGGCUGAAGACCGUGAAAUGUCGAUUCGUCGCCGUUCGCAGCAAUUGGGUUUGUGUUAUUCGACCACAUGGAAGAUUUUACGCAAAGAUCUUGGUGUAAAACCGUAUAAAAUACAGCUCGUGUAAGAACUGAAGCCGAACGAUCUGCCACAACGUCGAAUUUUCAGUGAAUGGGCCCUAGAAAAGUUGGCAGAAAAUCCGCUUUUUUAUCGACAAAUUUUGUUCAGCGAUGAGGCUCAUUUCUGGUUGAAUGGCUACGUAAAUAAGCAAAAUUGCCGCAUUUGGGGUGAAGAGCAACCAGAAGCCGUUCAAGAACUGCCCAUGCAUCCCGAAAAAUGCACUGUUUGGUGUGGUUUGUACGCUGGUGGAAUCAUUGGACCGUAUUUUUUCAAAGAUGCUGUUGGACGCAACGUUACGGUGAAUGGCGAUCGCUAUCGUUCGAUGCUAACAAACUUUUUGUUGCCAAAAAUGGAAGAGCUGAACUUGGUUGACAUGUGGUUUCAACAAGAUGGCGCUACAUGCCACACAGCUCGCGAUUCUAUGGCCAUUUUGAGGGAAAACUUCGGAGAACAAUUCAUCUCAAGAAAUGGACCCGUAAGUUGGCCACCAAGAUCAUGCGAUUUAACGCCUUUAGACUAUUUUUUGUGGGGCUACGUCAAGUCUAAAGUCUACAGAAAUAAGCCAGCAACUAUUCCAGCUUUGGAAGACAACAUUUCCGAAGAAAUUCGGGCUAUUCCGGCCGAAAUGCUCGAAAAAGUUGCCCAAAAUUGGACUUUCCGAAUGGACCACCUAAGACGCAGCCGCGGUCAACAUUUAAAUGAAAUUAUCUUCAAAAAGUAAAUGUCAUGAACCAAUCUAACGUUUCAAAUAAAGAACCGAUGAGAUUUUGCAAAUUUUAUGCGUUUUUUUUUUAAAAAAAGUUAUCAAGCUCUUAAAAAAUCACCCGAUAUUAAACGGGUAGUUUUUAACAUAUAAAGAAUUUUUUACCUACUAGUUGGAAAAUUCUCAAUUCUGGGAAAGGGAUGUUCAGCUAUUCAGCGAGGAAAAAUUUAAAAAUGCAUUCCGAGUGAGCAGGGAGACGUUUUUUUUAUUUAGUGGACGCAUUAAAAAAUGUGCGCAAAAAGGAUACCUAUUGGCGUAACGCCAUACCACUUGAAAAACGAAUUGCUGUCGCUUUAUACACGUUAGCUUCUUCCGCAGAAUAUAGAACAGUUGGUAGUCUUUUUGGAAUCGGUCACACAACAGUAGGAGCAAUAGUGGUACAAGUUUGCGAAGAUAUAUGCAGAGUGUUUAAGAAUGAAGUAUUCGAUGCAUAUCCGCCGAAUGAUGUGAAAGUGAAUGAAAUAGUCUAUGGUUUUGAACAUUUAGGAUUCCCGCAACGUUAUGGCGCAAUAGAUGGGUGCCACAUUGAAAUAAAGCCUCCAAAAAACGAAGCCAGCGAUUAUUAUAACUUUAAAGGGUGGUACUCGACGGUUUUAUUUGCAUCAGUGGACUAUAGAUGCAGAUUUACUUAUAUCAAUGUUGGUACACCAGGACGAAGCAAUGACUCCACAUUAUUUGACAGUCGGCUUUGAAAAAGUGUCAUUCCGAUAGCGAAAUUUUAAAAAAAUAUGCAAAAACAAUCGAAGGCAUUGAGGUGCCGAUACUCCUUAUAGGAGAUUCAGCAUUCAAACUGUCUAAAUACGUUAUGAAACCAUUUCCAUUUUCUGUUAAUCAACCAGAAAGUGAAAAAAUAUUUAACAGACGCAUUUCAUCGUGCCGAAGAGUUGUGGAAAAUGCUUUCGGACAUAUAAAGGCUCGCUUCAGACAAAUUGGUCGAGGUCUGGAAGUUAAUUUAAAAAAUGUUAACCUUGUUAUAAAAUCUUGUUGCAUUAUUCAUAACAUAUGCAACAAUAGAAAUGACACUGUCAAUCUGCAAUCAACAAGCAAACGCUAGAAAUAGCGGAAGGCAACCUCAUAGAGCACACAUAGACAGACAAGAAAUCAUUUGCGGAAUUGAAAUUCGACAGGCAAUUAUGACACAUUUUAUCCACGCCGACGAAGUUGAUGGUGCUUCUUCAGGUCCACUUUCAUUUGACAAUGAAGAUGCCGCCAUCGAUGCGUCUAAUGGAUCCGUAACUGUGGAAUAAAAGAUGUAUAAUACAUACAUACAUUGAAAUUGUAAUAUUAAAAUAAAAUAAUUGCUAUUUCAAACAAA